rnacentral:rRNA from 1 species
CACCGCGGUUAUACGAGAGGCCCAAGUUGACAAACACCGGCGUAAAGAGUGGUUAAUAACCCCCGAACUAAGGCCGAACACUCUCAAAGCCGUCAUACGUGCCCGAGAGUAGGAAGAACUUCAACGAAAGUGGCCUUAACCUCAUAUGACCCCACGAAAGCUAGGACA